GCCUAGGUAGCGCAGUAGGCAGCGCGUCAGUCUCAUAAUCUGAAGGACGUGAGUUCGAUCCUCACCCGGGGCA
rnacentral:tRNA from 1 species